UACGUAGGUGACAAGCGUUGUCCGGAUUUACUGGGCGUAAAGAGCGCGCAGGCGGUCGAUCAAGUCGAGUGUGAAAGCCCCCGGCUCAACUGGGGAGGGUCAUUCGAUACUGAUCGACUCGAAGGCAGGAGAGGGUAGUGGAAUUCCCGGUGUAGUGGUGAAAUGCGUAGAUAUCGGGAGGAACACCGGUGGCGAAGGCGGUUCUCUGGGCCUGUACUGACGCUGAGGAACGAAAGCGUGGGGAGCGAACAGG
rnacentral:rRNA from 1 species